AUCUGUUUUCGGAGCCAAAAUCGAAGGGUUUGGAGUGUGAAUUUGGGAAUCAUUCCAUCUCGAAACUCGUAGAGGACCUCGAAAACUGUGUGUCAUUCGUGGUUGUGUACCUAAGAAAAUUUUGGUCUAUGAUGUUGCUUUUGGUGCUAACUCGAGCUAUGUUGGCGAA